UAGGGAAUUUUCCGCAAUGGGCGAAAGCCUGACGGAGCAAUACCGCGUGAGGGAUGACUGCCUAUGGGUUGUAAACCUCUUUUUUCAGGGAGGAAUAAAUGACGUGUACCUGAAGAAUAAGCAUCGGCUAACUCCGUGCCAGCAGCCGCGGUAAGACGGAGGAUGCAAGUGUUAUCCGGAAUCACUGGGCGUAAAGCGUCUGUAGGUGGCUCGACAAGUCAACUGUUAAAUCUUGAAGCUCAACUUCGAAAUCGCAGUCGAAACUAUCGAACUAGAGUAUAGUAGAGGUAAAGGGAAUUUCCAGUGGAGCGGUGAAAUGCGUAGAGAUUGGAAAGAACACCGAUGGCGAAGGCACUUUACUGGGCUAUUACUGACACUCAGAGACGAAAGCUAGGGUAGCAAAUGGG
rnacentral:rRNA from 1 species